UACUGGAUUUUCUGAUUCUUCACUAGUAUUAUGAAUGUCUGCUAUUGGGAUGAAAGAUUCAACAGCAUGUUGGCACAACAGCUGCCUGGAGCACCCAUCCACACGAGUGCCAAGUCAUCAACUGAGGAUUGAAAACAUCACUGGAUAUGUAACAAGGUCAACUGUUUCCUAUGCUGUGUGCAUGAAUGGAGAAUUGUGAAUGGCAUACUACACAGGAUUGUCUCCCUGACUCGACUGUGGACUUUUCAAGGGCAAGAGCUCCAUCUGAGUCAUCUAUGCCUUCUUCAAGGCUGACAGAACAUGUGAGGCCUGUGAUAUGGAUGACUAUCCUGGUGUGCCAUCAAUAAUUCCUUAAAGCUGUGUAAGUUGUUCUAUAAACCCAUAUUUAGAGACUUUUUAAAAAUGCAGAUUAUUGGCCUGAGAAGCCA